UCGAGUUAGGGUCCUUCUAGGGCCCGAUCUCCUCAACCCUAUGUUUAUUACACCUUGUGUUGCUUCGGUAGGCCUGGAUUCUCGUCCUGCCGGAGGACCGUUGAACGUCCUCUGGAGAGUGCCUACCGACAGCCCCCACAAACAAAUUCUGAACUAAACGUGUCUUGGUCUAAGUAUACUUGCAAAAAUUAUAAGCA
rnacentral:misc_RNA from 1 species